rnacentral:rRNA from 1 species
CCAGCAGCCGCGGUAAUUCCAGCUCCAAUAGCGUAUAUUAAAGUUGUUGCAGUUAAAAAGCUCGUAGUUGAAUUUCUGGUGAGCGUUGUUCUCGGCUCUCUGAGUCGGUUCAAUGUUUCAUCAUCCGUAUGGGAAGCUAGCUCGGCCUUCACUGGUCGGUUAGUGGAUCAUACACUUUACUUUGAAAAAAUUAGAGUGUUUCAGGCAGGCAAUUGCUUGGAUACUUCAGCAUGGAAUAAUGGAAUAGGACUUUGACCUAUUUGUUGGUUUCUUGAGGUCAAGGUAAUGAUUAAUAGGGACAGUUGGGGGCAUUCAUAUUUAAUUGUCAGAGGUGAAAUUCUUGG